rnacentral:rRNA from 1 species
GACGAACGCUGGCGGCGUGCCUAAUACAUGCAAGUCGAACGCUUCUUUUUCCACCGGAGCUUGCUCCACCGGAAAAAGAGGAGUGGCGAACGGGUGAGUAACACGUGGGUAACCUGCCCAUCAGAAGGGGAUAACACUUGGAAACAGGUGCUAAUACCGUAUAACAAUCGAAACCGCAUGGUUUUGAUUUGAAAGGCGCUUUCGGGUGUCGCUGAUGGAUGGACCCGCGGUGCAUUAGCUAGUUGGUGAGGUAACGGCUCACCAAGGCCACGAUGCAUAGCCGACCUGAGAGGGUGAUCGGCCACAUUGGGACUGAGACACGGCCCAAACUCCUACGGGAGGCAGCAGUAGGGAAUCUUCGGCAAUGGACGAAAGUCUGACCGAGCAACGCCGCGUGAGUGAAGAAGGUUUUCGGAUCGUAAAACUCUGUUGUUAGGGAAGAACAAGUACCAUAGUAACUGAUGGUACCUUGACGGUACCUAACCAGAAAGCCACGGCUAACUACGUGCCAGCCGCCGCAGUAA